rnacentral:piRNA from 1 species
UGAUAUACAAACUGAAUAGUAACGGGGA